GAGUGUUUAAAGCAAGCUAACGCUUGAAUACAUUAGCAUGGAAUAAUGAAAUAGGACGUUCGAUCCUAUUUUGUUGGUUUCUAGGAUUGACGUAAUGAUUAAUAGGGAUAGUUGGGGGCAUUAGUAUUCAAUUGUCAGAGGUGAAAUUCUUGGAUUUAUUGAAGACUAACUACUGCGAAAGCAUUUGCCAAGGAUGUUUUCAUUAAUCAAGAACGAAAGUUAGGGGAUCGAAGACGAUCAGAUACCGUCGUAGUCUUAACCAUAAACUAUGCCGACUAGGGAUCGGACGGGAUUCUUUUUUGACCCGUUCGGCGCCUUACGGGAAAC
rnacentral:rRNA from 2 species